AGGUGACCCACUAUCACUCUUUCUUUUUAUCAUAACUGUUGAACCUUUUAGCCUAUUAAUUAAGGAAGCAUGCAAAACUGGUAAUUUGGUGGGUGUUUAUGUGGGAUUUAGGAAUGUGGUUAUUACACAUCAACAGUUUUUGGAUGAUACACUUUUCUUCACUCCAACAAAAGUUGAUUAUAUGGCUGCAAUUUUGAAAAUUUUGAGUUAUUUUUCAGCUGAUGUCGAGGUUAAAGUUUAAUUUCCAUACGAGCUAUCUGUUUGGCAUUAAUGUGGAUAAUGAGAUAUCUCAAAGAGCAGCAAGAUUGUGCCAUUGUAGAAUUUGUUAUCUUCCAAUUCGUUAUUUAUGCUUUCCCUUAGAGGCAAAUACUAGAAAAU
rnacentral:misc_RNA from 1 species